rnacentral:piRNA from 1 species
UAUCUACUGCUGUAUUUUUCACUGUGCAAG